rnacentral:rRNA from 1 species
GACGAACGCUGGCGGCGUGCUUAACACAUGCAAGUCGAGCGAUGAAGCACCUUCGGGUGUGGAUUAGCGGAGAACGGGUGAGGAACACGUGAGGAAUCUGCCUUCCACUCUGGGAUAACUCCGGGAAACCGGGGCUAAUACCGGAUAUUUUCAACUGGCGGCAUCGCCGGUUGAAGAAAGUUUUUCGGUGGAAGAUGACCUCGCGGCCUAUCAGCUUGUUGGUGAGGUAAAGGCUCACCAAGGCGACGACGGGUAGCCGGCCUGAGAGGGUGACCGGCCACACUGGGACUGAGACACGGCCCAGACUCCUACGGGAGGCAGCAGUGGGGAAUAUUGGGCAAUGGAGGAAACUCUGACCCAGCGACGCCGCGUGAGGGAUGAAGGCCUUCGGGUUGUAAACCUCUUUCAGCAGGGAAUAAGCGAAAGUGAAGGUACCUGCAGAAGAAGCACCGGCUAACUAUGUGCCAGCCGCCGCCGUAA